CCUACGGGAGGCUGCAGUGAGGAAUAUUGGUCAAUGCACGAGAGUCUGAACCAGCCACGUAGCGUGAAGGAUGACUGCCCUCUGGGUUGUAAACUUCUUUUAUAUGGGAGUAAAAUGUUCCACGUGUGGGAUUUUGUAUGUACCAUAUGAGUAAGGAUCGGCUAACUCCGUGCCAGCAGCCGCGGUAAUACGGAGGAUCCGAGCGUUAUCCGGAUUUAUUGGGUUUAAAGGGAGCGUAGGUGGAUUGGUAAGUCAGUUGUGAAAGUUUGCGGCUCAACCGUAAAAUUGCAGUUGAAACUGGCAGUCUUGAGUACAGUAGAGGUGGGCGGAAUUCGUGGUGUAGCGGUGAAAUGCGUAGAUAUCACGAAGAACUCCGAUAGCGAAGGCAGUUCACUGGACUGAAACUGACACUGAGGCUCGAAAGUGUGGGUAUCAAACAGGAUUAGAUACCCGAGUAGUC
rnacentral:rRNA from 1 species